rnacentral:rRNA from 1 species
UACAAAGAGAAGCAAGACCGUGAGGUGGNGCAAAACUCAAAAACUUGUCUCAGUUCGGAUUGUAGGCUGAAACUCGCCUACAUGAAGCUGGAGUUGCUAGUAAUCGCGAAUCAGCAUGUCGCGGUGAAUACGUUCCCGGGUCUUGUACACACCGCCCGUCACACCACGGAAGUUGGGGGCGCCCGAAGCCACUUAGCUAACCCUUUUGGGAAGCGAGUGUCGAAGGUGAAAUCAAUAACUGGGGUGAAGUCGUAACAAGGUACC